AUUGAACGCUGGCGGCAGGCCUAACACAUGCACGUAGGACGCAGUUGCGAACGGGUGAGUAACGCGUAGGUAACUACCUAUUAGAGGGGGAUAACUAUUGGAAACGAUAGCUAAUACCGCAUACUCGUAGAUGGACCUGCGUUUUCUUAGCUAGUAGAUAGGGUAAGGGCCUACCUAGGCAACGAUACGUAGCCGACGUGAGAGGGUGAUCGGCUAGACGGAGACUGAGACACGGCCCAAACUCCUACAGGAGGCAGCAGUAGGGAAUCUUCGGAAAUGGGGUGAAGCCUGACCGAGCAACGCCGCGUGAGUGAAGAAGAUUUUCGGAUCGUAAAGCUCAGUUGUUAAGGAAGCGGUACUUAACCAGAAAGGGACGGCUAACUACGUGCCAGCCGCCGCGGUAAUAC
rnacentral:rRNA from 1 species